rnacentral:tRNA from 2 species
GCCGGUUUAGCUCAGUUGGUAGAGCAUCUGAUUUGUAAUCAGAGGGUCGGGGGUUCAAGUCCCUCAACCGGCACCA